AUGAACGCUAGCGGCAGGCUUCACACAUGCAAGUCGAGGGGCAGCAUCAUGGAUAGCAAUAUCUAUGGUGGCGACCGGCGCACGGGUGCGUAACGCGUAUGCAACCUACCUUUAACAGGGGGAUAACACUGAGAAAUUGGUACUAAUACCCCAUAAUAUCAUAGAAGGCAUCUUUUAUGGUUGAAAAUUCCGAUGGUUAGAGAUGGGCAUGCGUUGUAUUAGCUAGUUGGUGGGGUAACGGCUCACCAAGGCGAUGAUACAUAGGGGGACUGAGAGGUUAACCCCCCACACUGGUACUGAGACACGGACCAGACUCCUACGGGAGGCAGCAGUGAGGAAUAUUGGUCAAUGGACGCAAGUCUGAACCAGCCAUGCCGCGUGCAGGAUGACGGCGCUAUGAGUUGUAAACUGCUUUUGUACGAGGGUAAACGCAGAUACGUGUAUCUGUCUGAAAGUAUCGUACGAAUAAGGAUCGGCUAACUCCGUG
rnacentral:rRNA from 1 species